CAUGAGCAGAACGUAUAGCCUUAUGUGGCAGGUAGGACACGCCUACUAAUCAGGAGGACUCGCUCACUGAUUGGGUGAUCACGCUUUAAAAAGCUCUCCUGCUUCGCUUUUUUAAUUAUGACCUCUUUCGGCUGCCAUACCAGGUCACCAGGAAGUGAGCGCGAGUAGCAGGCAGUUUCCUGGACACGGAUAGUCGGCCAAUCAUUCGGCGUAUCUGCAAUCUGCUCCAGUAGCCGUACGAAUAUCGCAUAGACUCGCUCCUUCUCAGCAACCGAAAGUGUUCUGCUGCACGAUCCCUUCCCUCCCCGCAAACAGGGGAGUAAAGCUGCUGCUUUGCCUUGUGUGUUUUUGUGCCUGAGCUCGAGCGCGCCCGCCCCCUUCCACGCCGCGGUAGAAGAAAGACACACGCCCGCUGCACGGAGGAUACCACAACGUGGAAGCCGUCUCGUGGGACUGGACAGUUUCUUCUCUCCCCACCA